rnacentral:rRNA from 1 species
CACUUCUAAGGAAGGCAGCAGGCGCGCAAAUUACCCAAUCCUGACUCAGGGAGGUAGUGACAAGAAAUAACAAUAAACCGGCUUAUGCCGGUUUAAUUGGAAUGAGUACAAUUUAAACAUCUUAACGAGGAACAAUUGGAGGGCAAGUCUGGUGCCAGCAGCCGCGGUAAUUCCAGCUCCAAUAGCGUAUACUAAAGUUGUUGCAGUUAAAAAGCUCGUAGUUGGAUUUCUGUGGGGACGGAGCGGCCGGCCGCACAUCGCGGUUCGAGCUAGCGCUUUCCCUACAUCCUGCCGCGAACCGUGCUACCAUUAAUUUGGUGGCGCCGGGGAUCGGCUCGAUUACUUUGAGAAAAAUAGAGUGUUCAAAGCAGGCCACAUGCCUUGAAUAAGUUAGCAUGGAAUAAUAACUAAGGACUUCGGUUCUAUUUUGUUGGUGUUCGGGACUGAAGUAAUGAUUGAUAGGGACAGUUGGGGCGGUCUGUAUUCCAAAGCGAGAGGUGAAAUUCUUAGACCUUCGGAAGACAAACAGCUGCGAAAGCGUUCCGCAAGGAUGUUCCCUUUGAUCAAGAACGAAAGUUGGGGGAUCGAAGACGAUCAGAUACCGUCGUAGUCUCAACUAUAAACUAUACCAGCUAGGGAUCGGCCAACGUUAUUUUAUACCGACUUGGUCGGCACCUUAUGAGAAAUCAAAGCAUCUGGGUUCCGGGGGGAGUAUGGUCGCAAGGCUGAAACUUAAAGGAAUUGACGGAAGGGCACCACCAGCCGUGGAGCCUGUGGCUUAAUUUGACUCAACACGGGAAAACUUACCAGGUCCAGACAUAGUAAGGAUUGACAGAUUGAUAGCUCUUUCUUGAUUCUGUGGGUGGUGGUGCAUGGCCGUUCUUAGUUGGUGGAGUGAUUUGUCUGGUUAAUUCCGUUAACGAACGAGACCCCAGCCUGCUAAAUAGCGCGCAUGAGCUUUGCUCGUGGCGAGCUUCUUAGAGGGACUAUGAUGCGCGAUAGCACAUGGAAGUUUGGGGCAAUAACAGGUCUGUGAUGCCCUUAGAUGUUCUGGGCUGCACACGGGCUACACUGGCGCCUGCAACGAGCAUAUCAGCUGGCCCGAGAGGGUCUUGGCUAAUCUUUUGAACCGGCGCCGUGCUUGGGAUUGACCUUUGCAAUUGUUGGUCAUGCAACGAGGAAUGCCUUGUAAACGCGAGUCAUCAGCUCGCAUUGAAUACGUCCCUGCCCUUUGUACACACCGCCCGUCGCUCCUACCGAUGAAUGUUCCGAUGAAAUUUUCGGAGAGCACCUGUGAACUUGGCUCUGCCUUGCGAACGGGAGGCUCAAAGUCACUUAAAUCUGAACAUUUCG